UACGUAGGGACCGAGCGUUGUCCGGAUUCAUUGGGCGUAAAGAGCUCGUAGGCGGCUGUUCAAGUCGAACGUGAAAACUCGGAGCUCAACUCCGAGCCUGCGUUCGAUACUGGACGGCUAGAGUCUGGUAGGGGGAUCUGGAAUUCCUGGUGUAGCGGUGGAAUGCGCAGAUAUCAGGAGGAACACCAAUUGCGAAGGCAGCUCGCUGGGACGCUACUGACGCUGAGACGCGAAAGCGUGGGGAGCAAACAGG
rnacentral:rRNA from 1 species